AACGAACGCUGGCGGCAUGCCUAACACAUGCAAGUCGAACGAGACCUUUUGAUCUAGUCGCGCACGGGUGCGUAACGCCUGGGAACCUGCCCUUAGGUUAGCAAUACCUCACCGCAAGAGGUGCUAAUACCGGAUAAUGUCAUCGCACCAAUGAUCUAUCGCCGUGGGUUGCGCCCGAAUUGUAUUAGGUAGUUGGUAGGGUCACUGCAUACCAACGUGACGUUCUUGGCAUGGUCUGAAAGGAAGAUCAGCCAGACUGAGACGGAGACCCGGCCCCAACUGCUACGAGAGGCAGCAGUGAAGAAUAUAGGACGAUGGGCCAUUGUCUGAUCCAGCAAUGCCGCGUAUGAGAUGAAUGCCGUAGGAUAGUAAAGCUCUUUUACCCGGAGGGAUACUGACGGUACCGGGAGAAUAAGCUCCGGCUAACUCCGUG
rnacentral:rRNA from 1 species